rnacentral:rRNA from 1 species
UAUUGUAAGUAACACCUGCUCAAUGAACAAUUAAAUAGCCGCGGAAAUUUAACCGUGCUAAGGUAGCAUAAUCAUUAGCCUUUUAAUUAAAGGCUCGUAUGAAUGGUGAAACAUUUCAAUUACUUUAUUAAUUAAUAUUUUUAAAUUUAAAUUAAGAAUAAAAAUGUUCUUAUAUAUAAAUUAGACGACAAGACCCUUUUGAACUUCACUUUAGUUUAGCUGGGGCAGCUAAAAAAAAAUAAUCUUUUUACUUUUCAAAACAUAAAUGAUCCAAUAUAAUUGAUUUUAUGAACAAGUUACCAUAGGGAUAACAGCGUAAUAUUUUUUCAAAGCUCUUAUUAAAAAAAAUGAUUACGACCUCGAUGUUGAAUUAGUGUAACUUUAUAAAUGCAAUAAUUUUAAAAGUAGGUCUGUUCGAC